rnacentral:rRNA from 1 species
AUUGAACGCUGGCGGCAUGCUUUACACAUGCAAGUCGGACGAGUGGCGAACGGGUGAGUAACGCAUGGUAACGUACCGAGUAAUGGGGGAUAACUGUCCGAAAGGACAGCUAAUACCGCAUACUAUUAGAGCUGCCGAUGUCUGAUUAGCUGGUUGGCGGGGUAAAGGCCCACCAAGGCGACGAUCAGUAGCGGGGCUGAGAGGAUGACCAGCCACACUGGGACUGAGACACGGGCCAGACUCCGACGUGAGGCAGCAGUGGGGAAUAUUGGACAAUGGGCGCAAGCCUGAUGCAGCCAUGCCGCGUGUAUGAAGAAGGCCUUCGGGUUGUAAAGGACUUUUGGCAGGGAGGCGGUACCUGAAGAAGAAGCACCGGCUAACUCCGUGCCAGCAGCCGCGGUAAUUC